GGAAUAUUGGUCAAUGGGCGUAAGCCUGAACCAGCCAAGUAGCGUGCAGGACGACGGCCCUACGGGUUGUAAACUGCUUUUAUGCGGGGAUAACCGGCGCCACGCGUGGCGCCCUGCAGGUACCGCAUGAAUAAGGACCGGCUAAUUCCGUGCCAGCAGCCGCGGUAAUACGGAAGGUCCGGGCGUUAUCCGGAUUUAUUGGGUUUAAAGGGAGCGCAGGCCGAAGGUUAAGCGUGACGUGAAAUGUAGCCGCUCAACGGCUGAACUGCGUCGCGAACUGGCUUUCUUGAGUGAGUACGACGUCAGCGGAAUUCGUGGUGUAGCGGUGAAAUGCUUAGAUAUCACGAAGAACCCCGAUUGCGAAGGCAGCUGACGAGUCCUUUACUGACGCUAAAGCUCGAAGGUGCGGGUAUCGAACA
rnacentral:rRNA from 1 species